ensembl:misc_RNA Metazoa_SRP Metazoan signal recognition particle RNA
GCUGGGUGUGGUAGCGCACACCUGUAAUCCCAGCUACUAGGGAGGCUGAGGCAGGAGAAUUGCUUGAACCCAGGGGGUGGAGGUUGCAGUGAACCAAGAUCGUGCCACUGUACUCCAGCCUGGGCAACAGAGUGAGACUCUGUCUCAA